rnacentral:rRNA from 1 species
GAUCAUGGCUCAGGAUGAACGCUAGCUACAGGCUUAACACAUGCAAGUCGAGGGGAAACGACAUCGAAAGCUUGCUUUUGAUGGGCGUCGACCGGCGCACGGGUGAGUAACGCGUAUCCAACCUGCCCAUCACUUGGGAAUAACCUUGCGAAAGUAAGACUAAUACCCAAUGAUAUCCCACGAAGGCAUCCGAAUGGGAUUAAAGAUUUAUCGGUGAUGGAUGGGGAUGCGUCUGAUUAGCUUGUUGGCGGGGUAACGGCCCACCAAGGCUACGAUCAGUAGGGGUUCUGAGAGGAAGGUCCCCCACAUUGGAACUGAGACACGGUCCAAACUCCUACGGGAGGCAGCAGUGAGGAAUAUUGGUCAAUGGGCGCAAGCCUGAACCAGCCAAGUAGCGUGAGGGAAGACUGCCCUACGGGUUGUAAACCUCUUUUGUUUGGGAAUAAAGUGCGGGACGCGUCCCGCAUUGCAUGUACCAUUUGAAUAAGGACCGGCUAAUUCCGUG